rnacentral:tRNA from 6 species
GCACUCGUAGCUCAGCUGGAUAGAGUACAAGUUUCCUAAACUUGGUGUCAGAAGUUCGAAUCUUCUCGAGUGCACCA